AACUAAAGUUUUAUUACAGAAAUGUCAUCUAUAGGCCUUGUGGAUGAGUUAAAUUAAAAUCGUUGAAAAACUAAACUUCAUUAUGAUUUAAAGGAUCCUCAGUUAAGUCAAUGUAAGAAGAAGAAGAAGAGAAAAAACACAGGUCUUAACGUCUUAAUGGAACUGGAAAAGCAAGGAUCAUGUCAGCUGAACUCAAUUAAUGAAACCAGGAAUGAAUGCCAUCACCCAUCUUGUGAGCUGUUGAGGGAGAACAACGACAGGCUGCAGAGGGAAAAUGAUUCUCUCAAGGCAAAAAUAGCAACAUUGAAAUGUAAUGCUAUUGUUGAAAACUUAGUUUUUUUUUUACGCAAGGGUUUUUCUGUUUUACAUGUUAGCUAAAAGGCUAUUAUGAAUCCUUUGCUCAGUGCUACCAGACGUUUUGCAGAAGAUGGAGGAGUUUCUUCGCUCAGCACCAAGACCAACGACAACACCAAUACCAACACCAACACCAAGACCAAGACCAAGACCAGAACCAACACUAUCACCAGCACCAACAGCAGUUCCACCACCAGCAACAGAAGACCCAUCACCAGCACCAGGUCAAUCAUCAGCAACAGCAACAGAGGCCCUGGGCCACUCUGUCAUUCCAAAAGGACUUGUGGAGCGCUGCUCCUUCCAAAGCCCCCAGAAGUUCAUAAAUGAUCUCCUACAUGGGAUGUAUACCAGGAAAUAUAUGGCAGGCCAUUCAGUGACUGGCCAGUCAUCCAGCAGCUGCACAGAAGGAAAACCUGGCCUAGCCAAACAGGACCUUGUUGAAAUAACAAAUGCUGCAAAGUUGAAGUUCACCUACGUAACUGAUACGAACAUAAAAGCAUUUAUACGACAAAAGCUAAACAAUGCUGCCAAAUUUCAGAAACAAUAAAUUAUCAACUGUUUAAAGAAAGUUAAACUUUUGUUCUAUUUUUUUUGUAUUUUAGCAGUCUGUAGAAAACACUGUGUUAAUGGUGGUUGUAAGCCUAAUUUAUGUGCAGUGAAUUAUUGUUACAGCACUAUGGUUAAAAAUGGCAACAACAAAAAGUGAUGCAGUUGAAAAUAUCCAUUAGGUAAAGUACAAUGACAUAGUUAAAAGAACAACAAAAUACUGCA